UAACGCGUGAGCAACCUGACCGUUUCAGAGGGGGAGUAACAGUUGGAAACGACUGCUAAUACCGCAUAACAGUAUUGAUGUCGCAUGGCAUUGAUAUCAAAGCUGAGGCGCUGAGAGAUGGGCUCGCGUCCGAUUAGAUAGUUGGUGGGGUAACGGCCUACCAAGUCGACGAUCGGUAGCCGGACUGAGAGGUUGAACGGCCACAUUGGGACUGAGACACGGCCCAGACUCCUACGGGAGGCAGCAGUGGGGGAUAUUGCACAAUGGGCGAAAAAGCCUGAUGCAGCAACGCCGCGUGAGGGAAGACGGUUUUCGGAUUGUAAACUUCUAUCAACAGGGACGAAGAAAGUGACGGUACCUGAAUAAGAAGCCCCGGCUAACUACGUGCCAGCCGCCGC
rnacentral:rRNA from 1 species